UUUGGAAUCGCAGAGGUGAGUAUUGACCUAACCAGAGGCUGAGCAAAGGGCAAUAAAUGGGUGAAUGAACCAUUUGCACACACAGUUCGGUGUGAAAUUAUGUAAGAAUAGAGCAACGACGCCGUUCGAGCUUCAGAUGAGAGUUCCCCUUGUCUCCUUGCGCAUUCUCGAUUUAGUCUCUCCCAGACACACAGUCAACCCACAGAGACGGGGCUUGUGUGACACAGCCAUGCGCCUGGUCCAGUUUCAUCGCCAUGGUGACGGAGGUGGAGAAGGAGUCAGAGUAGGAGUGGAGCAGGGUGAAGGGCUUGGCGUGGUGGACCUGAGGGCGUUUGACCCCUCCAUGCCCUCAACGAUGAAAGAGCUGCUGGAGCUCGGAGACAAAGGUCUGGAGUGUGCACAGAGGGCGCUGUCAUCUGGUCAGUGCGUGCUGAAGCGUUCGGACGUCAGGCUGUUGUCUCCCAUUUUGGCCCCGGAGAAGGUGGUGUGUGUGGGUAUGAACUACCGUGACCACUGCCUGGAGCAGAAUGCCCCCAUCCCUAAAGAGCCCAUCAUCUUCAGCAAGUUUCCCAGUGCCAUCACAGGGCCAUACGAUGAUAUUGUUCUACCCUCUGAGAGUCAGGAGGUGGACUGGGAGGUGGAACUGGCUUUUGUGAUUGGACGACGAGGAAAGCACAUUAAAGAGGAAGACGCCCUAUCUUAUGUGGCAGGAUUCAUGGUGGCCAAUGACGUCAGUGCACGCGACUGGCAGAUGAAGCGCAAUGGAAAGCAGUGGCUGCUGGGGAAGACCUUUGAAAGCUUUUGCCCCCUCGGCCCUGCGUUGGUAACCACUGAUGCUGUGAGAGAUCCUCACAACUUGGGCAUUCGCUGCCUGGUAAAUGGAGACAACGUCCAGAGCAGCAACACUGACCAGAUGAUCUUCAAGACUGAAGCGCUGAUCUCUUGGGUGUCAAAGUUUGUGACGUUAACGCCGGGUGAUGUGUUCCUGACAGGCACCCCUCCUGGCGUUGGUGUGUUCAGAAAGCCACCCGUCUUCCUCAAGGGGCACCAGUAAGCUGGAGCCUAUCCCAGCUGACUCUGGGCAAGAUGCGGGGUACACCCCGGACAGAAAGGAGAUGUGGUGGAGUGCCAAAUAGACCAGCUAGGCUCUAUCAUCAACACAGUCAUCUGAACGUCUGCCAAACCGAUCCACAUUAUCAGCUGCACUUUUCAUCCAAAAAUAAAGUACUAGAAGAAAUGAAAAAAUACCUUGAUUGCUUCCUGCUUGAUUGAGACAGCUCGUUAACUGGAAGAUAUGGUUUCAUGUAGUAGUUGGAAGAAUGUAUAUGGGACUGCAGCGGUGCAAAAAAUAUAUAUAGUAUGUAUAAUUUUCACACGUGCAAUGUGUGUUUUGUGGCGGACAAUAGAGGGCAUGCCUCUCACCCACUUGGCUCUUGGGUUAGGGGCAUGGUUUGUGGACUAUGCUUUGGGGGUGCAAUUUUGGCGCUAUAUACUACUGUAGGAGUUUCCUGCCUUGUCAUUCAUUCUGUUGUGAGCAGUUGAAUCAAGUUGAAUAAAUUUACACUUUGCAACUG